AACGCACAUUGCGCCCUCUGGUAUUCCGGAGGGCAUGCCUGUUUGAGUGUCAUUAAUCUCUCACAAGACCGUCUGGUCUCUGUCGAAGUUGGGAGCUUGCGAACCUUCUGGGAUCGCUGUCCUCAAAUGCAUUGGUGCGGCCCGCCGCCCGGUUUACACAACGUUCUAGGUUCGUCCAACUCGUUGCUUCUCCGGUGCAAUCAUGGUGCUGCACCUAAAGCCCGCCUCGUGCCCUGUGCUCUUGGCUUCUUCAUUUAUUGACCUCAGAUCAGGUAGGAAUACGCGCUGAACUUAA
rnacentral:misc_RNA from 1 species